rnacentral:rRNA from 1 species
AUUGAACGCUGGCGGCAUGCUUUACACAUGCAAGUCGGACGGCAGCACAGAGAAGCUUGCUUCUUGGGUGGCGAGGGGCGAACGGGUGAGUAACAUAUCGGAACGUACCGAGCCGUGGGGGAUAACUAAUCGAAAGAUUAGCUAAUACCGCAUAUCUUCUGAGGAAGAAAGCAGGGGACCAUUUGGCAUUGCGCUGUUUGAGCGGCCGAUAUCUGAUUAGCUAGUUGGUGGGGUAAAGGCCUACCAAGGCGACGAUCAGUAGCGGGUCUGAGAGGAUGAUCCGCCACACUAGGACUGAGACACGACCGAGACUCCUACGGCAGGCGGCAGUGGGGAAGUUUGGACAAUGGUCGGAAGCCUGAUCCAGCAGUGCCGCGUGUCUGAAGAAGGCCGUCGGGUUGUAGAGGACUUUUGUCAGGAAUGAAAAGGGCGGGGUUAAUACGCCUGUGUGUUGACGGUACCUGAAGAAUAAGCACCGGCUAACUACGUG